rnacentral:lncRNA from 1 species
AUUUAAUAUAAAACAGUUUACACAUUGUCCCUAAAAUUUUGACACUUGAGAUGUCUACUUAAUGUGCUUUAUGGAGAUCUUUGUACAGUGUUGUGGAUCUGGCAGACGAUGUAGAACAGGUGUUUGCCUACCGCGGUUAUGCGGUUGCACGGUAGGUAAGAAUGGCAAAGUGAGAAGCAGAUCAACACAAUGGAAAAAGAGAGAGACAGACAUUGUAUGGUUUGUUGGGAAACCUUGGAUCUUUAUUGAGAAAGAGAGUGAAUAUAAACAACAUGCUCUGACAAUGGAGGACAAAUACCUGGAUGUAAAUUUGACAAGUCCUAAUAAACUUAAGGUUGAUCGGCAGCUGUCGUUAUUUUAAAUAGUCUCUAGAAAAAUUUUAAAUAGUCUCUAGUCUUUUAAUAGUCCCUAGUCUUUUCAUAGUCCCAAAGAAAAUUAACAGUCUUUAAUCCAAAUAGAUGAACAAUUAGAAUGACACUUAUUGAGGAGCAGUGACUGCUGAUUCUACCCAAUGAUUAGGUGGGAAUGGAAAAGGAAAUUGUUGAGAAGGCUGUUAUGGUCUUUCUUUGCACACUUUGUCACUGGUUACUACACAGCUAUAACGAUGUUGCACAAAGAAAGAUAUUAAUAAUUCUAGGACUGACGUAUUGGACUUGUUGAAAGUCUGAUGACACAACCUAUAACCAGCCAGACGAACUCUGGGAAUCCACUCUAUGAUUCAAUGGCUAGGCAAAUCACUGUCAAAGACGACCAACUCCUUAUAUGUAUAUCCCUUCCUAUAAAGGGAUAUAUAUAUAUAUAUCCUUUUUUCUUUUCCCCCUUCCCUUUUUGACAAAC